UAAUGUCCAACAAUGUUGAAGGUGAAAAUAGCGAGACGAAGGCAGAGAAAGACAUCGACUGAAGGAUUUGUGAACAAAGCAGUACUGGAUUUCCGACUUUUUAAAUCUAAAUAAGGAUUAAUUUAAACAAAUUAACGUUUUCAACGACGGUUUUUUUAAUCUUCGGAUAUUGCCGUUUGCUGGAUGAACGACAUAACACUGGAAACUAUUUUUCCCCAUUUCAACGUCGAUUAAGUGACGUCACAAAUACCCGUAUGUGGGCAGGGUCGGAGCUACGAGGGGAGAGAGGCACGCCCGGAGCGUCGACGGGGAACUGCGCAUGCGCGAUGCAGAUAGCGAGGUUAUUUACAUUCCGAUAACUUUGACUUCGAAACGUGAACAUGAAAACUUACAUAUUACGUGAAAGUUAGGUUAAUAUUAAUACCCCCGCCCCACAAAAGGAUUUGUUUAAACGGGAUGUUUCAAAGUUAAAAUUACGCUAACCGCUACAAUGGCUUCACAAGCUCCACUACGGCUCUGUGGUUGCUAUGUGAACGACUUCUCAGCUGUCCAAUCAGCGAACGGCUUGCGAAGCUUUCCAGCCAAUCCGAGCGCGAGAGGAAUGUGGUUGGGGAAGGAGAACAGCGCAUAGACGGGACGCCAUUAAAAAUUCCGCCGUUUGCACUAUUAAAAACGUGUCACGUUUUAUUAAAGAUAUUAGAGGGCUUAAAUAAAGUAUUUAAGUGAACUUGAUAAAUAUAAGCUCACUUUUUUGCACAUAAAGCGUUUAAAUAUCGGGGAUUUUUAAAUCUGUGCCAGUUCAGCUCUGUGGGUGUGGCCUGCUUUUUUUAUCCUAGAAAAUGGCCGCCGCUGAGUAUGUUUCGGAGUGAUGAACUAUUCUAAUCUUAAAUCCUUCCUGUGUUUACUGUUUGUUUACAACUCGUUUAUUUUUGGCUUUAUUUAUGAUGAAGGCUAAAAAGGAAAUCCGUGUGCCGGAAGUAGUGUGACGUCGCAGUGUGUUUGCGCACGCCAACGAUUUUUAACCGUUGAGCGUGCGCGCGCUUAUCUGUUCUGUAUUCUAGAAAACACACCCGGAAGUACGACCAACCAAUCAGAAGACAGAACCGAAUUCUUUACCUUCCUGUGUGGAAAUGUAAAGCAAAAGAGCUCAGAAGUUUUCUUUUUCUUUCUUUCAUUUUCUUUCUUUCUUUUAUUUUUUAAUUUGUUGUAUAAACAGUAAAUUUACAUAUUAGGCUUGUAAAUGUGUACUAAAAUAAGAUUUUUUGUUUUAUAGUAUGUUAAACUGUAAUUUGCAUCAUUGUGCAUAUUAAUGUUAUUUUAAAAUGAGUUUAGUUAAGAUUACAGUAGAUUCAUGUUGUUUAUUUACAUUCUGAACGUUAGAUUAGAAAUUUAACAACUUUGUGUUUUGAAAAAACAAACAAACAUUAAUGCAACAUUUUAAACCUGUUUAAUUCAAUUGACUGGUCUGAGGUCUUUAAUAAUAGAUAAUAAAGUCGCUUUUUUGUUGCCGAGUGAAAACGUGUUUAUUUCUGUACGUGUCAUUGAUGUAAAGCCUCUUCUUACAGUUUGUACUGAGUUCACAUUUCACGCCUGAUUUGGGUAAAAGUCAGAAGGAAACAUUUAGUAGGAGGGAAUUUCCUGUUUUGGUUUUAAAUCAGAGUUUUGAAACUUGCUGCUGUCGUUUCUCGCCCUCUUCUUACAUAAACACCUUUUCACUCAUUCAACCGCCAACAAAACAAUUAAAACACAAGCCAAUUCCAUUGUCUGCGUUUUAUUUAUUUUUUUAGAGUGAGGUGUAUUUAAUUUCUAUUCUGAAAUAUUCUUUUUUAUUUAUUUCCUGUGUUAAAUAUUGAAAUGUGUGUGUGGGGGUUGUUUUUAAAAUCUUAUGUUCUCUGAGAAAGGGACAAAACUGAGGUUUUAUAGUACAAACACUUGUCAAUUGAGAGAGUCAUGUCUUUUCUAUUUAAUUAAAUGCAACACAGCCAUCCAUAAUGAGCUACUCUUCUACCUUUGACUGUAUGUCUGGGAUUAAAACUAUACCCGUUUCUUUAUUUAAUUGUUUAGACAAACACAUUUCCCUGAUUGCCUUAAAUAGUUUGUAAUUAUGUUAUGUGAGGGAAAUUAUUCAUUUUUACUUUGUAAUAGUAUUGUUCUUGUUCUGUUUCAUUCUCAUCUGAGGAUAACGCCUAAGAAGGCCACGUCAUGUCACUGAGAUCAGUACAGAAUGUUUAUCUGCUUACAGAGACACAAACAUGUUCUUCUGUUCAAGAGGACGAGUCUGUGAGUGUUGUCUAAUUUUCCCAACAAUUUGGCGUCUCCUGGCUGGACUGCACGAGUCUUUCAGCUUUUCUGGACAACAAGCAAACCAGAGGACGCUCGCGGAAAAGUUUUCACCCUGAAGUCCGUGUUCGCACGCAGGCGGUUUGCCCUUUGUUGUGUAAAGUGAAAGACUGAUGCAGCCUUACCACUGACCGGUAGGAAUCAUCAAGAAUUUAGAAUGAGAAUUUUAUGAAGUCAAUGUGUAUUGCUGUCUCUAUGGAAGGGAACAUCCAGGAACUUCGCCUCUGCGACGGCAGAGAUAUUGGUGUUUCUUAGAUCACAGCUUCAAAAUUAAGAUCUAUACUGACGGGUGUGUAUGUGUGUGUAUAUAUGUAUAUUAAUAUUAGAGAGAUAAUAACGGUAAAAAUAUUUGCUAAUGGGAAGAGUCAGUUUUGAGCAAUAAAUAAACGGAGUACUUAUUAAGGAGCGCAGUAUUUUUGUGGUGGGUUAUUAUGAAGUGGGAUGCCUCAUUCCAUCAUAUCAGCGGUACAUGAUAUAUUUGGCAAAUUUAAUGCACAAGUAAAUUUUACUGAGAUAAAAAAUAAUAAUAAUAAUAAAAAAAUAAAUUAUUAAGAAAAAAGAAGGGAAGAGAAAACAGUAGGUCCUACCAAAUUGCUGUAUGUGGACUCUCCCUCACAGGUAAACUCUUUUACAUUCUUAAGGUUUGCUCUAUUGAACCUAUAAGUUAUAUGAUUAAUUUUUCUGUCUGUGCAUGAGAAUGCAUAUUCACUUGAUUUUUAUAGCAUGUUAAAUUGAUUAAAACUUUAAAAUGAAAGUUAUAGAAGGUGUAAAAAAGAGAAAAAGCACAUCCUGAGCCACAUGCUAUGGUAUGUACAGGGUACUCAUAUGUUGGUCCUAAUAUCACAUUUAUGCGUGUGAAUUAUGGGGAAGGAUGUUUGAACCAGUAUGAUGUAUGGGUUAAAGAAUGUGCUUUCCUGGAAAAAGGUAGUUUUAGUCUCAGACAGUUAGAACAACAGAAAUUUAAUUUGUAAGCAAAGAAGAGAGAUAUUUCUAAAAUAAUUUUUUUUAAAAACACAGUUUUUGGCAGACUGGAGGGCAUUUGCUGAAGGGCAGAGUGAGGCACAUAAAAGAGAGAAAAAAUGGCAGGCAGGGCCCUCAUCUGUUUCGCAGUGUGCUAAAUUGCAGAAAGCCGAUCCCGACCUGGACUCCGCCCCACCAUGACACCCACAGCCAGGAAGGAGGGAGGAACCUGCAGUUUGAGAGGCACCUCUUCACGAUGAAGCGGCCCAGCCUACACCACUCUAUCCGAACCUGUCAGAACUGAUCCACCAACCCCCACCGAACUAUGCUCCAGCCGUCCUAUCUUCACCGGUGGCGUUACACACGAGAUCCCAAGUGAAUGGACCAACAGCAUUGCUGCCUGAGGGCUUCAGACCAACAAAAUCAGACAGAGAAGGGACAGUGCACGCCGUGGUAAAUGCCCCAAUGCUGGAGGUGGCCAGAGGAGGAGGCCCUAUGCUAGUUGACAUACCCUGGAUAUUGGAAGACAUCAGGAGCAGCAUGAUGCAUUUGCCGGUGCUCCACGAAGUAGGACAACAAAAGUUUGGGGAUGAACUUCUGAGAAUUCAGACCCACCACUCAUGAACUACGACGACUGCUCAUGGCGAAACUUGGCCCGGACUGGGUCAAGGUUUCACCUGAAUUCCCAGAGAACGAUGUCCGCCUGAUCAACCCACAGUGGGCUGAUGGAGUCAACACAAGGUACAGAGCACAAAUCACGGCGUUCAAGCAGAGGCUGACAAACACCUUUCCUGUGCACCUGGACGUGACAAAAAUAGCAAAGUAUCUAUCUCGUCUCACUGAAGUCCAUGAUGCAAAUUAAGACCAGUAGCACUCGCAGAUGGACAAGCAGCCGAAGACACAGCAUGGGUAGCACAUCUCAGAAACAGCUUCAGGAAUGGUAUGAAACCAGAUAUCGUUGCUCUUGUAAAACAUCAACGCAUUACCUGGGAUACUGGAAAUAUGACUCAGGUAGAAUGAUAUGCAAUCCAUGGGGAGAAGCACCUACGAGAGGCAAAGGAAAGAAAGUUGGAGAGGAGAGAAAGACCAAAAGGACGCGGAUGAGGAAGGCCAGAGGGAGACAGGGAACCACAUGACUGUGUUGUACUGACUAAUGAACUCUGCUCCCCUAGAAUCGACCUGAAGGAUGUUCCAUUGGAAAACCCAGAUUUGAUCCUCUUUAUGGACGGGUCAGCGUCAUGUGACCCAGAGACAGGUAAAAAUCGAGUGGGUUAUGAGUAGUGACCGCACACGAGACGGUCUGUCAGGAAGUCUCCCCUCAAAACUUUCAGCACAACCAGCUGAACUGUACGCCCUCAUAGAGGCAUGAAGACCUGCUGAGGGACAGUCAGUAAAUAUCUACACAGACAGUAGAUACGCCUUUGAGGUAGUACAUGAUUUGGGGACAGUUUGGAAACUCAGAGGACGAGUCCGCGAGUGUUGUCUAAUUUCCACGACAAUUAACAGUCCUAAUGGUUUCCGUUAUUAAUUAUUAAUAUUUAUUCUGUUUAGGUGAUGUUUUGCUUUUUUAUAUAUUGAUUAUGAGAUGACCUUCAGUCAUUUCUCCUAACUCACUAAAACACUACACAGAUGUAAUAAAGACAAUUAAAACGAGACUAGAGAAUACAUCUUGUACAUUUAUUUAUUUAUUUAUUAUUUAUUUGAUUGAUUGUUUAUUUAUGUAUGUAAAUUGUUCCUUCUCUAUCUGAUUUAAUAAAAUAUUAAAAGCGUCAGCGUCAUUUAUUUCCUGAAUCUUUACAACCUUUCACACAUUUAAACUCCAAAUUCCUCAUGCUGACUGUAAAAAC
ensembl:lncRNA